AAGAUCAUCAAUCAUUAGGAAGGCCUGAAGUUUCAGAGGAGGAGCAAUGAUAUUGAUUGUGCUACAGAUGGCCCCUAAUACCACAAACAGACCCUUAAAAUACUACUCCUCAUCAAUGAACAUAUAGCCUACAUCGCGGCACAUGUGACAUCAUCGUCGUAUCGAUCGCUUUUUACAUAAAUGUCUACAUUUAGAGCUCAGUGAGUUGUUGUUUUGUUGUUGAAAUUAACAAUUCACGUCGGGCUAGUGGAGCUGAACUCGUCCAGGAUCGAGCAGACCUCAACAAACAAGGUCAAAAAGCCGCUCCAACACAGACGCCCGAACCGCGGGCUCGUGUUCUAAUGAAGCCGGCAAUUAAAACGGAUUUCAUAAAUGCAACAACUGCUCUGUUAAUGACAGAGGGGAGGGAAGAACAUGAGGAGAAAGUAGAAGUGAAGGGUUCACUGUGCAAUAGCGACUGCAGUGGACACAGAGCGCGUGCUGUCUGACCACUGCUUCAUCGUGAGGAAGAAGAUGAGGACCAUUUCUAUACAAACGCGUGAUCGGAUAAAUGUGGGUAAGUCGAUCGCAUCCUUAUAGAAUUGAGCCUGCCGCGGCGCGGGAAAAGUGCGCGUGAUACUGCUGAUCUGCACAAUCACAGCAGGAAAAAAAAAAAAGAUUUGAACAGCUAUAACUUUAUUAAUUAAAAUCUAUAAAAAUCACACAGUAAAUCAGUGCCUUGAGAAAACGCUCUGUUAUUCAUAUUAACGUUUUCGCUUUGAUUUAAGGCUACAAAUUGAUGAGUAGCCUAUGAUGCGAACUGGUUUACUUUUCAGUUUUAGGAUAUAAAAUCCGCAUUUUUCCGAAACAACGGCUAAUAAUUUCAGCCGAAAAGAAACUUUACUGACAUAGAAAAACACGCUUUCGGUUUCAAAAUUGUUUAAAAUACCAUCUUCGCUUCGUCCAUGUUAAUAAAUCCAUGAAAUAAAAAUAUUUAGUUUUUUUUUUAAAGAGCCUACCGACUGAACAAACUCGUGCUUAGAGACUUUAAAACAGCUAAAAUCAGUGUUGUGAACGUGGAUCCGUGGCUCGGGCAGAAGAUGGCUUUAACAGGCGGUAAAAUUUCAUCUGCUGGUGUCAAAUUGAGGUCAUUUUAGGGUUAAAGCUCUCGAUGUCUCUGCCCAGCUGCGACUGAGAAUCCAUUUCAACGCAAACACUUUUACAUAACCUCACACAAUUUUAAACUCAUCUCUUUUUAAGAUAUUUUUUUUUAAUGAAAAUCAUAACAUAAAAUAUAGGCUAAUCUAAAUGUAAAAUAUAGUCUAACUUUAGCUAUGUAAACUGCUUUAUCCUAACAACUAAAUCUAAAUCUAAUGCUUCAGGUUAUUCAGAAUUAUUUAAUGCUGUUUAAUUUAAUUUAGCUCUAAAAUUUUAAAUGGAAUAUAGCCGACCUAAAAACACAUUUCUACGGAACAACAGGUCGCCGAAGAGUUCACAAAUCCAAAUUCGCGCCCAAUAUAAUAUUCGCGCCUUCUUGAAUUUGCUCAACUUUAAACAUUUAGGCUUUUUUUUUUUUUUUUUUUUUUAAAUACCGUUCAUUAGGAAUUUUAGAUUAAUAAUCUAGGCUAUAUUUGCAAAUGUUCCGUCAUCUUCAGUUUUGAAACGUGUGGAGGUUUUUCUGAGGUGACUAUUUAUGUUAGGAUAAUAAUUUCUCCGUGUACUGCUUUAGCUCCAUUUAAACUUUCUCUGACCUCAGGGAACGUGUCAUUCUAGUCCCUGCAGGAAAGCUGUAGAGCUCCAGUGUUUGUAGAAGUUUCGUGAGUAACUGUAAAUUCUUCUGUGUGAAAGGCGUCUUUUCCUUCAUGGCUGCUCAGUGGCGUUAUUCUCACUGCACUGUGAGAGACCGUGUGUGUGUGUGUGUGUGUGUGUGUGUGUUUCUGCAGCUCUUUAGCGACACCUGCCGGAUCAAUGAUGCGCCACUUUGCAAUCCUGUGUGAAGUGUAGUUAAAUAAAAAGAAAUAAACACUGAUAUCUUGAGGGGGGAAAAAAACAUAUACAAACAAAAUUUGUUUCGAAUGAAUUAUAUUUAAUGAACAAAGCUUGCCAGGGAAGAACGAAAUAAACAGACUACAAAGAGUUUGCGCAUUCGAUACAUUUUUAGAUCGUUUUUGUUUCGUAAAUUAUAAUGUUUAAAUGAUCUAUUUUUGUUGCACUAUGUUCUACAAUUAGAUAACUUUCAUUUUAAAACUACGCGAUUAUUUUUCACGUAGGCCUAUCAGUUUUCCUGGUAAAAUCCGUGAAUGUUGACGGUGGAAAAAAUAUAGGCUAUUUUUCAUCACUGAGAUCAAAAUUAUCUAUUAUUUUCUUGAAAAAUACAUUAAUUAAAAUGCGUCUUAGACUGUAAUAGGAGUAGCUACACAUCCUAUAAUUUUUGUUAUUAUUGUCCUCCUCGCCAUAUAGUUUGGAAGCGCAAACAUUUGACAAAAUAUAUCUGAUGAUAUCUAAGAUAAAAACUGUAGCCUAUAUAAUGCUUGUGUUACUAAAUAAAUGGUAGCAUAGGCCUAGAUAUUAGUUGAAUACAAUAUGAUUAAUAAACGAACAAGCAAAAUAAACAAUAUAGCCUUUAAAAAAUUAUUAGGCUAGUGUUGACUGAAACCCGAACAACUCUUGUAAAGUAGGCCUGUCUAAUUUUACAUAUAUCUUGAAAUACGCCUAUGUCAAAAUCUUUCUGUGUCCACAAGAGGAAUAUUAAAACGGAGAAAUGCGUGCUUAUUAAUUAUCUUGAUAACAGGCUCAUGUGUUAUUUCUGUUCACGCUUGUGUGUCACUCGUCUUGUGUGUUUUAAGAGGCUUAAAGCUCUGACACCUUUAUAUCAGAUUCACCAACACCUUUAAUUCACAUUCAUGCCGUUAAUGUCCCGCACGAAACGGAACAUGCAGAAAGCCAUAAGUAUUUUUUUCCCGAUUAAAUCAGAUUUGCUCUUUUCAUUUCUUCGUUUAAAUUAUUAUCUCUUAGGCUAAUAUAUGUCGCGAAAAUAUGUCUGUGUAUUAACUUUAAGAGGCCUACACAUUAUAUUUUUUUAAAGACCAGAUUCAUCUAAGAUAUCGUUUCAUUUUAGAGAGAAAAAAAAUAGUUUUGAAGGAACGCGCUACCAAAGGGUUAAAGUUUUGCACGCAUAUAGAUUUAGAGUUUUCUUGAGUGCUUGUCAACAGUAAUGAAACACGAGCCACGCCCACUGACGUCACUGACAGCUCAUUAGCGCUAAUCAUUUGCUUCUAGGGUAGAGGACAAAAUCAUAUCGUUAAUGGCUUAUAUUAGUAAUUGGUUGCAAGUGUAGGUAUUCCUACCAUACAGAAAUAUUACAAGGCGCAGGUUCACUCAUUAUGCAGCUCCAGGAAUUAUGUGCCCCCUCAGGACUGCUGAUUUUCCGCCAUUUAAACAAAUACCCGACAUAGCGCAUGUUAAGAAGAAAUUGUUUCCCGUUUCCACUGUUCAAAUUAAAGGUGUAAAAUCCACAUUUGCAAUGUGUUCAAAUAAAUGCCGUUGCCAUCUUUGUUGUUGUUUUGUUUUUCUUACAUCUUCCCAUUUGACUGUAUCUCCCUUGGUUCUGGAAGAGUUUACACGAUCAAGCAGGGGAGCCAGGAGGCCCCAGAUCUACAUAGGAGACGCUGGCGAGACGACUGCCACAGGGACACACAGUGAGGAUAUGACAGCAGUUACAACAAGCGCUGUGAAGUUUCAUCUUUACAUGCUGCUGGCCUCCAGUUCUGCAGCUCCAAACAAUUCCUGCUAGAGCAUAAAACCAUAAGAACGACCAGAAAUGAAUGUUAAAUAAGGAUAUUUAAAUUUAGAGCUACUAAGAUCAUAAUGAAAAAUACGGUUGCACUUUAUUUUAAGGUGACGUUGUUACAGGGUAAUUAAAAACUGAGGGUAACACUUUAUUUGUGUCAUUGUUACAUUUAGUUACAAGUAGUUACAAUAGUAAUAACUAUAAAUUAUGCAUAAUUACAUGCAACUAUCCCUAAACCAAACCCUAAUCCUAACUAUAGUAAGUGCAUGUAGUUAAUUAAUAUUACUCAGUACUUAAAUGUAUAAUUACACUGUAAUAACAACACCUUAAAAUAAAGUGUAACCAAACUGAGUAAUAUUAAGUAACUACAUGUACUUAUAAGGUUGGUAACACUUUAUUUUACAGUGUCAUUGUUACACAUGCAGUUACUAACUAUAAAUUAUGCACAAUUACAUGCAACUAUCCCUUAAAACAAAACCCUAACCCUAUAGUAAGUACAUGUAGUUAAUUAAUAUUACUCAGUACCUAAAUGUAUAAUUACAGUGUAACAAAGACACCUUAAAAUAAAGUGUAACCGAACUGAGUAAUAUUAAUGAACCACGUGUACUUAUUAUAGGGUUAGGGCUUUGUUUACUUGUAAUUAUGCAUAAUUUACUGUUAUUACUAUAGUAAGUGCAUGUAACAUCUGCGACUACAUCACCUUAAAAUAAAGUGGGUUACACUUUAUUUCAAGGUGACGUUGUUACAGUGUAAUUACACAAAUAAAAACUGAGGGUAACACUUUAUUUUAGUGUCCUUGUUACACUUUAUAUGUAGUUACAAUAGUAAUAACUAUAAAUUAUGCAUAAUUACAUGCAACUAACCCUAAACCAAACCCUGUAGUAAGUACAUGUAAUUAAUUAUUAUUACUCAGUAAUUAAAUGUAUAAUUACACUAACAAUGACGCCUUAAAAUAAAUCGUAACCAAACUGAGUAAUAUUAAUGAACAACAUACUUAUUAUAGGGCUAUGGUUAGGGCUUGGUUUUAUUAUGCAUAAUUUACUGUUAUUACUAUAGUAAGUGCAUGUAACAUCUGCAACUACGUCACCUUAAAAUAAAGUGGAUUACACUUUAUUUAAAAGUGCCUGUGUUACAGUGUAAUUACACAUUUAAGUACUGAGUAAUAAUAAAUUACUACAUGUACUAGUUAGGGUUAGGACUAGGGUUUGGUUUAGGGUUAAUAGCAUGUAAUUAUGCAUAAUUUAUAGUUAUUACUACAGUAACUACAUGUAACAUGUAUAACAAUGACACUAAAAUAAAAUGUUACCAUAAAGUGUUACCAAAAACAUAUUAUAUUACAGCUUUUAUUGUAGCUAUAUAACUAUAGCUGCUGUUUCAAGUGUAUUUGCACCAAAAAUAAAAGCUUGUAAAAUUUAUUAGAUACGUUUUUACUCAAAUGCUGCAUGAAUCGUACUCAGCUGCAUCUCAAGGAGCUUUAAUUUAUUUAGUCAAAAAAAUGAUAAAGCAAUACAAGUUAAAAAAAAAAAACAUUUCAAAGGCCCCGUUGGUGUGCAAAACUGUUGGAAUCUAAAUCCAGUCUGGUGGGACGUUUGAGUGUUUAACAUUAUAAACAUGCCUGUCUCCUCCAGCUCGGAGGGAUACUUUACAUGUAAAUAUUCACACAGGCCAUGAAUUAUUGAGAGUUGUAAAGAAGUAAAAUGUCUCUGUGUUUGAGCUCAAGAAUGGACAGGAAGAGAGUGAAUUAUCCAAAAGAGAAGGUAAUUGGGGGAUGAAGAAAUAAAAGCCUAGGCGAAAAAAUAAAGCCUACUGUAUUUCAAAUCCUGUGCACACACACACACACACACACACACAAACACACACACGCACAUGUAUAGAGGCAUGUCUAUAGGUGUGUGUGUGUGUAUAGGCCUAUAUGUGAAUCUACACAGACAAAAGUCACACGUCAAAACUUGUCAAAGUUUCCCGGUGAAGUGAGUUAGGGUGAAUUCGGGCUGUUCUUGUCUUUGUUGUAUUCUGGCCUGUGGCUGAACACUUGACAGACUGUCAGGAGCUGAUGGGAUACGAGUGCAGGCACUAGAAAGCCGCUCAUUUCUGCGGUUGAUUCACCACUCCAUGCUUUAUUAUCAAACAGGUAAUACUCUGAACACAACAGCACUAGAACUAAUGGAACACAGCAGUGCAGAUCUGUGAUUACUGUGUUUGUGAACUCACUCAAAUGCUGCAUGAGGUUUAGACAGAAUGCAUACUUUUCUCAGUGUUUUUUGCUUUUACAGUCUUGCAUAAUUGUGCAUUGUGUAUUUUAUGUCAGUAAAAAUCAGCAGAAUUAAAGAUUAAAUGUUCAAUCAUUCUGUGAAUCACAGUGUACUACAUAAACACUAACACUCUCUGUUGACCUCAGCAUUGAAAAUGAAGAAAUGCAUGACUUUAAUGAAAUUUCCCAGUGCAACAAAAAGCUUCCCAAUCCCCCUAACUACUAUUAAGCAAUUUUGAAUUACUGUACUAUAAUUGUGCGAGUAAACUAAAAGUCUAUUAGCAAUGCAGAAGUAUCACACACACACACACACACACACACACACACACCAAGGCACUAAACUGACACAAUUCACAAGUGGUCUCGAUGUCUCAGAGGACUUUUAAUAUGUAUGAGCAACAUCAAAGAGGAAUAUCCUGACAUGUGGCUCCUCCAAAUGAUCAAGCUUAUUAUCACAUAUAUGCAAAUGUUUUCCAUUUUUGUUGCAUGUUUGUGGAACCGCAGCGGAAAAUACAGAUGAUACGGUUAGAAACAGCCAUGAUGAUAUCUAGUGGCCACUGUACUUGCAUGCAUGUUUUGUUGCUUUUCCUCUGACAAACUCAUCAUGUGACGUUUUCUGAGAAGAUAAUUCUGUUAAUAGUCCUUGUCAACUGUGACUUGUCAUAAAAAAUUCUUGAAGAGAACCUGAAAAUAAAUAAAUGAAAGUGUUCAGAUA